rnacentral:tRNA from 1 species
GCCUUCGUGGUAUAAUGGUAGCACGCUCGGCGCCUAUUCGAGAGUAUGUGGUUCGAAUCCCUGCGAGGGCA